CAUUCAUUGCCUGCCUGUCACUGCCUCUUACACACGUGUUCCCACACUCUAUUCGCGCAUAUCAUAACCAUGUUCAACAAUGCGGCCCGGGCUGCAGCAAGAUUCCAUCUGAUGGAUGCACGCGUGGCAGAGCUAGAGACAACCUAACUAGUGGUGUCCCGCCCAUUAUUGUACAUUGGCUGGGAGGCUGACUUUUUAAAGAAUGUGAUUAUUACCAUUGGCUGAAAGGGCUGUCCAUUGAAGCAACACCUUUCCCUUUUACAAUAAGGAUGACUGAGGCACAGCAAGGAGCGCAUUUAACCCUUUAUAGAUAGUAAAGAGAACGAGGAGCCAUAACAUAGGUUAACCAUAUGAAGAGGCUGAAAAGUGAGUCAUUGGAAGAUUGGCAGAAAACCAAUCCGAUAUGUGCAAAUUGUUAUAUGGCAAGUGACCACAAUCCGCUUGUAACCAGAGUCAAAUUAAAAGGAAAUAAAAAAUA